CCAGCCUGAACAUCACCAUUAUUACAACCACCAUUACCACGGGUAAAGGUGCGGGCUGACGCAUACAGGAAAAACAGAAAAAAGCCCGCACCUGAACAGUGCGGGCUUUUUUUU
rnacentral:sRNA from 1 species